rnacentral:lncRNA from 1 species
AAGGAGGAGCCAGCCUCAACCAUUGCCUGAUGAAUGACCAUCAGUUGUUGAGACAAGCAGCCUGUUUGAGCAUCACUAUGGGACAUGAUGAUCUGCAGGCCUAGUCCCUUCUCUGCUCCCCAUAGCCUGAGCAUGAACACCCCAGCCCCAGCAGAGAAGGUUCGUGCUUUGACUGCGUGGCACCUGCUCGCAUCAGAGGGGAGAGUGAGGAUGUCCCAGAGCAUUGUGGCCUCCCGGGGGUCCAUGAGAAGGCCGAAGGCAGUCCUCCCUCAUCCCAGUCCAGCUCUCAGUAGAAGCUUUUUCCUGGAUGCCAGAAUCUCUGACAGAGUCACAGCAGGCUCUUUGCUCACAUAAGAUGCGCAGCCUCCUUUGGCCCUGCUUGCUUCUAGGACCUGAAGUCAUUUGUGCCAGAAAUGGAGAUGCUGGACCUCCAGGGACCAGUUCCUGCUUUCCUCCGCCUGCAAACAGCAUCCAUGCGGCCAGAUGGGCCACUGCAUGAGGAGACUGGGUUCCAGCCUCAAUGAUAGAGCUGUCCUUUCUCCUUUGGGUUCAGCAGAGCUCCAGGACCUCUGAAUCAGUGUUGGACCUUUCUGCGAGGCCAACCUCCAGAUGCGCAGGCAUGCUGCACCUCUCAAAGCCCACCAGAGAGCACCCCGCCCCUCGUUUCCUGGCUGAGCUGCUCUCUUCCCAAAGCACUACCUCUGUUGUUGAUGCUGCCACGCAGGCGGCAUCGUGUCUGGCUCUGACGUUCUGUGCUGCAUCUUAAGUUAGAUGAGAAAGAGUCAGACGUGGGGAAUGUAGAGCACAUUCAGCAUUAACUGGACAGGUGUUUUUCAACUGAUGAUGGUGCAUCCCUGGGCGCUGAUGGGUGCUGCAGCCAGCACCGAGCCUGGGUGAGGUUCAUCUGAGGGUACAUUAAAGUGAAGUCUGUCAGCACGUACAAAGGGAUGGAAGGGGAUUUGGUGUUUCUAUAGCAAUUAUGGGGGGAGAAUACUGCUGACGAAAAUAAAACCUGA